UACGGAGGAUGCAAGCGUUAUCCGGAAUGAUUGGGCGUAAAGCGUCCGCAGGUGGCUAUGUAAGUCUGCUGUUAAAGAGUCUGGCUCAACCAGAUAAAGGCAGUGGAAACUACAUGGCUAGAGUGCGUUCGGGGCAGAAGGAAUUCCUGGUGUAGCGGUGAAAUGCGUAGAGAUCAGGAAGAACACCGGUGGCGAAAGCGUUCUGCUAGACCUGUACUGACACUGAGGGACGAAAGCUAGGGGAGCGAAUGGG
rnacentral:rRNA from 1 species